rnacentral:sRNA from 1 species
UGUAACACUAAAUCAAUCCAUCUCGAAGUCUUAAGUCGGUUGAUUAGUGUUUCCUUGUGAGGUCCAUUGCGAAUGCUGUAAACUUUGUAUUAAUAACAAUCUAUGAACAUGGAGCACACACGGCCGCAAUCAACGGCAGCUAACAUGAUCCGAGUGCUUGAGUACCUGAUCAGUGGCUGAUUCAGUGGGUCCAUUCGGUGCGCCGUCAUGCUUGCUCAUUUAUAUGCAUGUCCCGCCUCUCUAUGCGCCUCUCACGAGCUCAUUCGGUCGGACACUCGGACGAUCGGAUCAGUCGCUCGUUGUCGAGUCAAACAAAUGUUUGCACAACACACAAUAAUGAUGACAGCGCAAAUUAGCUACUAAUUUUCACAUAAACUCUAACUCGAUGUGGAUGGGAAUGAGGAUGAGGAUGAGGGUCAGCUGAGCGCCAGGACCUCACACAGCUGCCGUCGCGCCGGAAGUGAUGUGCCACGUCGACUCUGAACUCGACUACAAAUUGCCAUAAAUCAGCAUUUGAUUAUCCUUUCUCUCCCUCUCUCUGUGUGUGCGUGUGUGUGUGUGCGGCUAAUUUGGCUCUGGGCCAGCCUCGACUGUUGGCUCGUUUCUCUCAUGUCAUCUCAUCUCGACUUUUUGGUGACUGACUGGCAGUUGGCUACCUCGCAAAUGUGCAGCAGCCGCUGCAUCAUCCCAAGCAUUCGGGUGGCCACCGAACGUCACUCAAAUUGAAGUCUCGCAAAUGAGAAUUGCUGAGCAACUGGCCACGGCUCCAGUCCCACUGCUCCCCUGACCUUGCCUCUGUCUCUGGCUCAGCGUCUGCCUUAGGCGCGCAGUUGUUGGAUUUUUAAUUAAGCCUGGCCCGAAGUGGAGCUGGAGUUGAGUGGACUGCGAGUUGGUAACUGGUCUUAGAUAGAGAGUGAGAGAGAGAGACAGAGAGAGGGAGAGAGCCGCUGCUGAGCAAGUGCUACCCGUUCGCACGGAGCAUGAAUGAAGCUGAGGCCAAACUCAAAAUGUAAAACUCUAACUCAAGCUGGAGUUGGAGCUGGAGCUGUGAGCUCUUGAAUGAAUUUAAUUUGAGAUGAUUUGUUGAUGGUUUCGUUGCGCUGAUUUCUUGCUGACUAAUUUAAUGUGAUUUUUAAAUUGCCAGAGACGCUGUUUGUGUGGCCAACGGCACAAGUGAGAGGGACUGACAAAGAAAGAGACAGAGAGAGAGAGAGAGAAAGGUGGCGAUAUGAAACAGGCGCGCUGAGUGGAAGAUGCUGGGACUCAUCUGCAGAUUGAUUUGGGGCCGUUGUGCAUUAGUCGAGACGAGCUACAUGUAUACAAGAUUUAUAUUCUAUACCCUGCAUGCAUUUCGAAUAGGGUAUAUGAGACGUAUGAUAUCGUGAAUGGGCGUAUUAACAAUAAAUGUAUGUUUGGAACUAAGUCUUUAAACAUUUUGGUAGUAAA